rnacentral:rRNA from 1 species
GACGAACGCUGGCGGCGUGCUUAACACAUGCAAGUCGAACGGAAAGGCCCUGCGUUUGUGGGGUGCUCGAGUGGCGAACGGGUGAGUAACACGUGAGUAACCUGCCCUUGACUUUGGGAUAACUUCAGGAAACUGGGGCUAAUACCGGAUAGGAGCUCCUGCUGCAUGGUGGGGGUUGGAAAGUUUCGGCGGUUGGGGAUGGACUCGCGGCUUAUCAGCUUGUUGGUGGGGUAGUGGCUUACCAAGGCUUUGACGGGUAGCCGGCCUGAGAGGGUGACCGGCCACCUUGGGCCUGAGAUACGGCCCAGACUCCUACGGGAGACAGCAGUGGGGAAUAUUGCACAAUGGGCGGAAGCCUGAUGCAGCAACGCCGCGUGCGGGAUGACGGCCUUCGGGUUGUAAACCGCUUUCGCCUGUGACGAAGCGUGAGUGACGGUAAUGGGUAAAGAAGCACCGGCUAACUACGUG